rnacentral:lncRNA from 1 species
UUUAAUAUUAUUUAGUUUCUCCUCUGAUUGACUAUUCCUUUAGUGUAGUUCCUCCCUUCGCUGGUUUUCACUUUUUAAAAAUUUCAUCUUCAUGGAAUAUCUUGUUGGGAAUAUUCUGAAGAGCAGGCUUUCUGGUUGUGGAUUCUUUUAAUUUGUGUUUAUCAUGGAAGGUUUUCAAGGGCUGGGGCUGUAGCUCAGUGGCAGAGCACUUGCCUAGCAUGUGUGAGACACUGUAUUCGAUCCUUAGCACCACAUAAAAAUGAAACAAAAUAAAGGCGUGCUGUCCAUCUACAACUACAAAAACAAAAUUAGAAAAAAAAAUAGUUCAGCACAGUAUCAGAGAUGCUGUGAACCACUGGAGCCGCACAGCCUCUCAGAGAUGGGCAUGGCUUGCUAAAAUGCCAAUCAACCUCUUUGCCACAACAACCCAUGCCACAACAAGAAGCAAGACUCCUCACUGAAACCUUAUCCCUGCCUUUGAUGUACUCCCCCUUAAAUAAAGAAUUGGAGCCAUUUUUAAAAAUUUUAGUUGUAGGUGUACACAAUAAUCUUUAUUUUAUUUUUAUGUGGUGCUGAGGAUCAAACACAGAGCCUCAUGUGUGCUAGGCGAGCACUUUACCACUGAGCCACAAUCCCAGCCCCAAAUUGGAGUCAUUUUAAAAAAGAGAAUCAAGGGAAACAGAAAAAUAUAUAUAAAACAAAAAUAUAAAAAACAUAUAUAAACAAAAAAAUGUAUAUAAUGCAAAAGUUUAAAUAAAAAGAUUAAAAGAAUAUAAAACAAAACUAAAAUACACUAAUCAAACAUCCUAGUUCACAAAAAACUUCUAAGAACUAUCUUUUGAAGAAUGGGUUUCUCUAUUGUUUUCUUGUUUUCAAUUUUACUGUCUUCUGCGCUUUAUUUAUGCCCUUCUGUUUUCUUUGUGUUUCUUUUGCUUUUGUUUUUCUGGUUUUUAGAAGUAGAAACUUAGCUUAUGGAUUUGAGAUCCUUCUUCUUUUCUAAUAUAAACACUUAAUGCUAAAAUUUCCCUUUUCAUAUUCCUUUGCAC